GUAAUUAAACAGAUCCGGUUCUGCAAAUCAGGUCGAAAUAUCAGAGGUUGAAUUCAAACACGAAACGACGCAUUUUCAUAGAAUCGGUCUUGUCUUACGUUCGACGCCGACUGUACAUCGAAUCGUAUAACACUUUUACGUCGAUUUGGCGUUCGUUUCCAGUACGCGUUUCCGAGCUCUUUAGGAGAUGUACGAGAAUAGCUUGAUUUUAAUCUCCGUCGUUUCAUAAUAUUAUCAUAUACGUCACUCAUUAUUAAGAAGCCCCAAGCUACUUCGUGUUUCCCGCGAUCUCGUGGCGUUUGUAUGCGUAACAAUAUUCUGUGAAGUACAUCGUUCGUGAUAGUAGUGACGCAGUCUAAACAGAUGAUCAAAGUGCAGCUUUAAUCACGUGAAUUAUAGUUCUCUCUGCAUCGCGUCGUGCGCAUUUCCAGCCGCCGAUAGCAUUGCCUUGUAUACGUGACUCGAGCUGCUGCACUGUCGUGAUACAUAAGGCGUACCUAAACACAAUUAUAUCUGAAUUGAAGAAAAUUAGCAGGAAACUAACAAAAAUCUACAACAGCUACAUAAAAAGUUACAGAAUUUAAUGAAGGAUCGAAUACCUUUUUUGGAUGAUUUUUGGAUUUGAAUAUCUUCGGAGCGGUGACAAAAUGUUCAAAGGCACGCGAGGCGUAGAUUGUGUGAAAAUUUGUGUGAAAUCUCGUAAACAGUCGGGUUUUGUAGAAAACCAGUUAGGAGUGCGUCGCAAAAUUCUGUUCUCUCGUCGCGAGAGACCUUCAAAGACGUUUCACACAUUUAGUAUUUUCUUGCUUGUCCCGAUUGAUAUCGUUUUAUUGGUUUUACUCGGACGCAGUUUCGCGCGCGAGAAUAAGCAACUCCUUGUCCUCGUGUACGAACAAAACUGAUACGUCGAUUUUCGGAUGCUAGCGCUAAUUUCCCCGGAGAUCAAGUAGCAUAAAAGUUUGCAUCUAUAUUGGCAGGUACGUUCGGAUUAUCUAAAAACUAGGACAUUUAAUCCGAUAUCUGAUUCAUCGAGUUCCCCUCCUCCUCUCCCCUGGGUUUCGUCGAUCUCAAAAUGAACGGUAGUCAUUGUUAAAAAAAUAAUUUGCCGCAUUACAAAAAAACUGAACUGACCAGUCACAGGUGGCUGUCAGCUCCAAUUUUAUGCUUGGGAUUUCAAUGCUUCCAACCGUUAUUCGUUGUACUAAAAUUAGAAUCUUAAUUAUGCAGGUAAAUAUUUCACAAUGAACGAAUGAAAAUGUAACUGUUUAGUCGAAUGAACGUCGUGAAUAUAUCUCUAUGUGUUGACUUUAUUUAUCAUCUAUUAAUCGAAUUUAAUUUUGCUUGGCAUCGAAUACUCGGAUAUUGGUAUUUUUCUUGGUUUAUUUUUCCUUAGAACUAUAAUUUUGAUUGAAGAGGCAUAGAAUACCUCAUAAAAUGCUCUGUCUUUUUAUAUUGGAAUGUAGGUAAAAUAUAAUAAAAUAUAGUGAAAUAAAAUAUAUAAAUAAAGUAUAAUAAAACAUACUACACAGGCAAAAUAUAAUAUUGUAUCGUAAG